CUUCGAAGGGUUGUUGGUUGUGGAGCACAUGAAAACUACACAGUUAAGCGUGCUCAAGUGAGAGUAGUACUAGGAUGGGUGACCUCCUGGGAAGUCUACAUCGAGGC
rnacentral:rRNA from 1 species